UAAGGAAUAUUGGUCAAUGGAGGCAACUCUGAACCAGCCAUGCCGCGUGCAGGAAGACGGCCCUCUGGGUUGUAAACUGCUUUUAUUCGGGAAUAAACCUAUCUACGUGUAGAUAGCUGGAUGUACCGAAGGAAUAAGUAUCGGCUAACUCCGUGCCAGCAGCCGCGGUAAUACGGAGGAUCCAAGCGUUAUCCGGAUUUAUUGGGUUUAAAGGGUGCGUAGGCGGCCUAUUAAGUCAGGGGUGAAAGACGGUAGCUCAACUAUCGCAGUGCCCUUGACACUGAUGAGCUUGAAUGAACUAGAGGUAGGCGGAAUGUGACAAGUAGCGGUGAAAUGCAUAGAUAUGUCACAGAACACCGAUUGCGAAGGCAGCUUACUAUGGUUUUAUUGACGCUGAGGCACGAAAGCGUGGGGAUCAAACA
rnacentral:rRNA from 1 species